rnacentral:misc_RNA from 1 species
GGAUGUGAUAAGUUAUCUUUUCUACACUUUCUUUGAUUCUAGCAUUUAACUUCAUUGAACAUUACAGUGUGGUGACGGACUGACGGUUUAUUUUCAGUCGAAAGGCCAAGUAUGAAAUGAAACUUGUUAACAUUUGGAAUAGCAAAUUACAAGCUCAAGGGGAGUGCACAAGUACACGCAAUGGGAGUCAAAAGAAGUGACGAAUGAGGAUGACCUGCUUUGCCGACGUGCUUCUCCUUCUCCUUGCCACUGCUGUCCAGUGCGUUUGGGAUUCAUCUGAGUUGUCUUAAUAAAUUGAAUGCAAUCAUUGGUGCAUUCAAGCUUUCAGGAUACAUCUCAGGUCCUGAUCGUUACACAGUGAAGGGUUGGUGCGUCAUCCUUCUCUUUAUUGAGGAUACUUUCGCUAAUCUCUGGACUGAAAGUAACUCUGUCGGGGUGGAAGCUGUUUUAGUUCCUGGAGGAUUUUGGUGAUGGAUAUGUAGAGGGUAAAAUACUUGCUGUCAAAUAUGCCUGUGUAAACAGGAUUCCUUACCUGGCAUCUGUCUAUGCAUGCAAAUUGCUGUUAUCGAGUAUGAUAGAUCCAUUCUUGGGUUGCAAGAUGCGAGCUGUACAGAGUUUGAUCCCAACACCGACAAUCCUUGGGUAAUUUUUAUACCGGAAGAUAAGUUCAGAUACUUCUCCUUCAACAUGAAUUUCCCUCAUGAUCCUCAUGAGGUCUCAUUUUAGUAGUGGCUCUAUUAAUCUGUAGACCAUGUUCACAGGGUUCAAAAGCACAUAUGAG